rnacentral:rRNA from 1 species
UACGAAGGGGGCUAGCGUUGCUCGGAAUUACUGGGCGUAAAGGGCGCGUAGGCGGACAUUUAAGUCAGAGGUGAAAGCCCAGGGCUCAACCUUGGAACUGCCUUUGAUACUGGGUGUCUAGAGUGCGGGAGAGGUGUGUGGAACUCCGAGUGUAGAGGUGAAAUUCGUAGAUAUUCGGAAGAACACCAGUGGCGAAGGCGACACACUGGCCCGUAACUGACGCUGAGGCGCGAAAGCGUGGGGAGCAAACAGG